rnacentral:misc_RNA from 1 species
AACGCAUAUUGCGCCCCUUGGUAUUCCAGAGGGCAUGCCUGUUCGAGCGUCAUUAUACAAUCUCAAGUUUUAUAAGCUUGGUGUUGGGCUGUCAUAUCCACCUUUGUAGGUUAUGUGCCUGAAAAUCAGUGGCAGUACCUAAAAUAGUCUCAAGCAUAGUAGACACUCUUGCUUUGGAGGCUUUAUUUUUUUUUGGGUUUGCUUGUCCUUUCUAAUGAUUUACAGAAGGUUUGACCUCGAAUCAGGUAGGGAUACCCGCUGAACUUAA